rnacentral:rRNA from 1 species
GUCUCAGUUCAGAUUGCAGGCUGCAACUCGCCUGCAUGAAGUUGGAAUUGCUAGUAAUCGCGAAUCAGAAUGUCGCGGUGAAUACGUUCCCGGGCCUUGUACACACCGCCCGUCACACCAUGGGAGUCGGGAACACCCGAAGUCCGUAGUCUAACCGCAAGGGGGGCGCGGCCGAAGGUGGGUCCGGUAAUUGGGGUGAAGUCGUAACAAGGUACC